rnacentral:rRNA from 1 species
AAAACGCAUGGCUUUCUUGGCCUGCAACGACUUGGUGCGGUGGUUGCCUCUCCCCGAGGCCCCCGCAUGCGCGAGUCGCAAAAACAACUAAAACCUUCUGAACGCGAGUCUGAGUGGCUUCCACGGCCGGAAAUAAAACAACGGUCAAGUACAACCUUCAGCAACGGAUCUCUUGGUUCUGGCAUCGAUGAAGAACGCAGCGAAUUGCGAUACGUAGUGCGAAUUGCAGAAUUCCGCGAGCCAUCGAAUCUUUGAACGCACAUUGCGCCCGCCGGCAUCCCGGCGGGCAUGCCUGUCCGAGCGUCGUCACGCACGACGCAGCCUCGGCUUUUUUUAUGGCCGGCGUUGGCGCUCUGCAGAGUUUACUGAUAGUAAAACUGCCGGACGCCCAAAUCCAUUGGCGGACGUUCCGCCCCGUCCCCAGGCGCAGUAGCAUCAAGUCUCGCCGCGGGCGACGGGAGCGAGCGAGCCCCCUCGAACACGUAUUUUUUUAGUAAUGCGACCUCGGAUCAGGUAGGACUACCCGCUGAACUUAAGCAUAUCAAUAAA